rnacentral:lncRNA from 1 species
AGAUGGAGCCCAUCCAGAACCCAGCUGUGCUGCUGCAAGCCAGGAGAAAGGACUUUGUGCUCCUUCACCUCAGAAACCUGAACUCAGAAUUUCCUUGUAGACACUUUUCAGGCCUUUGUUUGCUGGAGACUGGAGUUCCCUGAGAGGAUUAAGGGUGUGGUGGGGAGUGUCUAAAGGAGCCCAGUGCCUUGAGGGCAGCCAAGAAGACAGAGGCCCUGGACUGGAUACCGGCUGAG